rnacentral:tRNA from 1 species
ACCGCGAUAUCUCAGCUGGUAGAGUCUCUGCCCGGUAAGCGGAGUGUCAUCGGUUCGACUCCGGUUCACGGCU